CCACCAUAGCCCUCAAGACUGCAGGGACUAAGUAUUACAUAUGUGGAGCGGUUGGGCAUUGUGGGAGUGGCAUGAAGAUUGCAAUCCCUGUUAAGGCAGCAGCAUCAUCAGGAACUACUACUCCAUCUUCAGGUUCAGGCACCACUCCUGCUAGUACCUCUCCAGCUGGGACUAAUACCACCAUCUAUAAACNCUCUAAUAAUGUGCCUGACUCAGCUUCACCAACUCUUUCUCUAUUUGUGGGUAUAGUGGCA
rnacentral:misc_RNA from 1 species